UGCUCCCUGAUAGUCAGCGGCGGACGGGUGAGUAACACGUGGGCAACCUACCUUUAAGACUGGGAUAACUUCGGGAAACCGAAGCUAAUACCGGAUAAUAUAUAAGACCACAUGGUCUUAUAUUAAAAGAUGGCUUCGGCUAUCACUUUUAGAUGGGCCCGCGGCGCAUUAGCUAGUUGGUGAGGUAAUGGCUCACCAAGGCGACGAUGCGUAGCCGACCUGAGAGGGUGAUCGGCCACACUGGGACUGAGACACGGCCCAGACUCCUACGGGAGGCAGCAGUAGGGAAUCUUCCGCAAUGGACGAAAGUCUGACGGAGCAACGCCGCGUGAACGAUGAAGGCUUUCGGGUCGUAAAGUUCUGUUGUUAGGGAAGAACAAGUACCAGAGUAACUGCUGGUACCUUGACGGUACCUAACCAGAAAGCCACGGCUAACUACGUGCCAGCAGCCGCGGUAAUACGUAGGUGGCAAGCGUUAUCCGGAAUUAUUGGGCGUAAAGCGCUCGCAGGCGGUCUUUUAAGUCUGAUGUGAAAGCCCACGGCUCAACCGUGGAGGGUCAUUGGAAACUGGGAGACUUGAGUGCAGAAGAGGAGAGUGGA
rnacentral:rRNA from 1 species